rnacentral:rRNA from 1 species
AUUGAACGCUGGCGGCAGGCCUAACACAUGCAAGUCGAGCGGCAGCGGGAAAGUAGCUUGCUACUUUUGCCGGCGAGCGGCGGACGGGUGAGUAAUGCCUGGGAAAUUGCCCAGUCGAGGGGGAUAACAGUUGGAAACGACUGCUAAUACCGCAUACGCCCUACGGGGGAAAGCAGGGGACCUUCGGGCCUUGCGCGAUUGGAUAUGCCCAGGUGGGAUUAGCUAGUUGGUGAGGUAAUGGCUCACCAAGGCGACGAUCCCUAGCUGAUCUGAGAGGAUGAUCAGCCACACUGGAACUGAGACACGGUCCAG